rnacentral:rRNA from 1 species
ACGGGAGGCAGCAGUAGGGAAUCUUCCGCAAUGGGCGAAAGCCUGACGGAGCAAUGCCGCGUGAGUGAAGAAGGCCUUCGGGUCGUAAAACUCUGUUAUAAGAGAAGAACAAAUUGUAGAGUAACUGCUACAGUCUUGACGGUAUCUUAUCAGAAAGCCACGGCUAACUACGUGCCAGCAGCCGCGGUAAUACGUAGGUGGCAAGCGUUGUCCGGAUUUAUUGGGCGUAAAGGGAGCGCAGGUGGUUUCUUAAGUCUGAUGUGAAAGCCCACGGCUUAACCGUGGAGGGUCAUUGGAAACUGGGAAACUUGAGUACAGAAGAGGAAUGUGGAACUCCAUGUGUAGCGGUGGAAUGCGUAGAUAUAUGGAAGAACACCAGUGGCGAAGGCGACAUUCUGGUCUGUUACUGACACUGAGGCUCGAAAGCGUGGGGAGCAAACAGGAUUAGAUACCCUGGUAGUCCACGCCGUAAACGAUGAGUGCUA